rnacentral:tRNA from 1 species
GAGGAUAUAGCUCAGUGGUAGAGAGCUUGCUUAGCAUGCAUUAAGUCUUGGGUUCAACCCCCAGUACCUCU